rnacentral:misc_RNA from 1 species
CCAAAGGAGAGGGUCAACUCGUGCGCGGCUGUCGUUCGUGCUUAGCGUAAAACGCUUAGAAUGGGCAUGCGACGAAUGAACGCCCACACCCACGCAACUUUCUGCAUCCCAGGGCACAACUGGAGACCGUAGUCCAUGCCAACAAUGCUUGAUUUUCGCCAUCGUGGUUGGAAUACGAACCCAGCUACAAAGGUCCACCCGACACCCGUGAGGAUGCCGGACGAAGAGGAAAGGUU